GAUGAACGCUAGCGGCAGGCCCAAUACAUGCAAGUCGAACGGUGUCUUCGGACAUAGUGGCGCACGGGUGCGUAACACGUAUGCAACCUACCUUACAUUGGGGGAUAGCCUUUCGAAAGGGAGAUUAAUACCGCAUAAGACAGUAGCUGGGCAUCCAGCAGCUGUUAAAGAUUUAUCGAUGUAAGCUGGGCAUGCGUCCAACUAGCUAGUUGGUGAGGUAACGGCUCACCAAGGCAAUGAUUGGUAGGGGAACCGAGAGGUCAAUCCCCCACACUGGCACUGAGAUACGGGCCAGACUCCUACGGGAGGCAGCAGUAGGGAAUAUUGGGCAAUGGACGCAAGUCUGACCCAGCCAUGCCGCGUGCAGGAUGAAGGCGUUAUGCGUUGUAAACUGCUUUUAUACAGGAAGAAACGACUCUUGCGAGAGGCAUUGACGGUACUGUAUGAAUAAGCACCGGCUAACUCCGUGCCAGCCGCCGCGGUAACAC
rnacentral:rRNA from 1 species